rnacentral:rRNA from 2 species
AAAUUGAAGAGUUUGAUCAUGGCUCAGAUUGAACGCUGGCGGCAGGCCUAACACAUGCAAGUCGAACGGUAACAGGAAGCAGCUUGCUGCUUCGCUGACGAGUGGCGGACGGGUGAGUAAUGUCUGGGAAACUGCCUGAUGGAGGGGGAUAACUACUGGAAACGGUGGCUAAUACCGCAUAACGUCGCAGGACCAAAGAGGGGGACCUUCGGGCCUCUUGCCAUCAGAUGUGCCCAGAUGGGAUUAGCUUGUUGGUGAGGUAACGGCUCACCAAGGCGACGAUCCCUAGCUGGUCUGAGAGGAUGACCAGCCACACUGGAACUGAGACACGGUCCAGACUCCUACGGGAGGCAGCAGUGGGGAAUAUUGCACAAUGGGCGCAAGCCUGAUGCAGCCAUGCCGCGUGUAUGAAGAAGGCCUUCGGGUUGUAAAGUACUUUCAGCGGGGAGGAAGGUGUUGUGGUUAAUAACC